UUUACUCUGAAGUGAGUUCCAUUGCCAGGCGCAAUGUUGUUUGAGAUACCCUGAUUGGACAUCAUGAUGUGCAGGAACAAGCAUGAUGUCAGGAAAAGAAAACUUCAGUUAGAAACAAUUUUACUCCAUUGAGGACUAGUUGCUCUCCUGCACAUGAUGACAGGAGUAAAAUAUAAUUGACUUGUCAGAAGGUAUCCGGUUGGCCCCAGAAGGUAUAGUAUCAUCUCAGGAGAUCAAGGAAGGUAUCCUUCUGCAGUUUGGGGGAUCUGAAGAAAAGCUGAGCAGAUCAGAAAUGAACUCAGCAGAAUUAACAUUAGAAAGAGAGAAACAAGGACACCAAGAAGCAAUUUCACCCAGGAAAGCAUUCUGUUAUGAAAUCCAAGCUCUCUUUACAUGAAGACUCAGCCUGCAGACAGCUCCCUACACAUGCACCCCACAGGGAAGGCUGCUUGUCACCAGCAACCAUCUCCAUCCACAUUCCCCCCGCCCUGCCCCCACGAGAAGCCUGCCUUCAGUUGUCCCAAUUACAGGGAAGCCUGCUGAGGAAACAGAACUGUCUGAAUGCAAAGGAAAUUUAGCUCUUAUGAAUAUGAACUCUCAACCAAGAAUCACCAGACGUUUAAGGAAAACCAAGAACACAAAAGAGAAAGAUCAAGAUUAAAAAAACAGCUGGGCGUGGUGGCUCUUGCCUGUAAUCCCAGCACUUUGGGAGGCUGAGGCGGGAGGAUCGCUUGAGCAUAGGAGUUCGAGACUAACCUGGACAAUAUAGUGAGACCUCGUGUCUACAUAAAAUUUAAAAAUUAAUUAGCUGGGCAUGGUGUUGUGCACCUGUAGACCCAACUACUCAGGAGGCUGAGGUGGGAGGAUCCUUUGAGCCUGAGAUGUUGACGGUGCAGUGAGCUGUGAUAGCUAAAUGAGAUCACUCUGUAAAACAAACAAACAACAACAAUAAAACCAGAGCCAUCUUCUGAAAAAACAGAAAUCAUUGAGAAAUAAUAAAAGAACUUAAAAGUUCUAAUAUCCUUAGAAACAGGUGGAUAUUGUUUCUAUUUUUACAAAGUACAAGAAAAGAAAAAAAGAACAAGCAUUAGUGAAAAAAGGAAUCCCUAGAAACUAAAAAUGUGUUUAUACAAUGGAAAAAAGAUAUCAUAGAACUAACAAAGAAAUGGAAAAGCCAAGGUUAAAGACCAAAGUUGGCAAAUAAAUCAAGGACAUCUCCCAUAAUGAAAAACAAAAGCUAAAGAGAGCAUCUUAUCAACAGUAGAAUGGACAUAAAUUUGAAUGUAUUUAUGUGUGGACUAUUAUACAGCAAUGAGAAUAAGCAUAUUAGAACUAUACACAACAACAUGGAUGAAUCUCAUGAGCAUGAAGUUAGGGAACUUAAGAAGCCAGCUACAAAGAGCACAUGCUGUGUUAUUUCAUGUACAUAAAGUUCAAAAACAGGCAGCACUAACCUAUGGCAUUAAAAGCCAAGAAAGUCAAAAGAUACCCUUGGGGUGGUGGUGACAGGAAGCAGCAUGAGGGUCCUUCUGUGUUGGUGACAUUCUCUUUCUUCAAGAGCUCGCUAUGUGGGUGGUUUGCUUUGUAAAAAUUCAGCAAUGUGUACAGUUGUGUACAUUUUUAAUGUAUACUUUUAUAUGUUUUAACCUUCAAAAAGUGAAACAAAUGUCACAGUGUUUGGACACCGCAUGAACAUGCCAAUUUCCUGUGUUGUAAUAUUUUUAUGCACUUUAAGAAGACCACCA
rnacentral:lncRNA from 1 species